CCUUCCUACGGGCCUAUCCCUCACUGGCUCUGGGUCCUGGGCCUCUACCCAGGCCUGAGUCCGUGUGCUCAGAAAAGGUGUGAUUUCGUCCUUCUGGAGUACUGGUGUUCAUGUGACUGUCCUUUGAAAGAACAGGGCAAGAGUCAUCUGUUUUCUAUUAAACUUUGAUGACAUUUGAUACGCACAAGACACUGAGAGAGGGGCAGAGAAACCUGGAUGUGCAGAUAAAAUAGAGACCAAAGUAGUACAUCAGGAGAGAUGUGAAGAUAUCCCAGUUUUACCCAGUAUCUCUGAAAGAAAAAGCUUCCUCUCACCUGUUUUGACUGUACAUGUGGCUGUGCUCUCUGGCUUCAGAAUUGCUUCUAUAGGAAGAAAUUAAUCAUCGAUUAUUCUACUAAAAUAGAUUGUGAAAUCAGUUUAAUGAAUGAGAGGAGCAUGCCAUGUUGCAGUGCUAAGUCAUAGCAGUUUGGCUGCCUGUGUUCAACCAUGUGACAGGUUUCGUAAACUAGAAAGUACC